CCCAAGAAAGUGCUGAAUCCCACGGUGGGGCAGAGGCCGAAAAAAGGGUGUUCUCGUUCGCAAAGGGGUACAUCAAGGGAUAGGGUUAGGGAUGAGAGAAGAGAAGGGCGGUGGCGGGGUGAGAUCCGAAUGACGCAACACUGACGUCACGGCGCAAGCUCCGCUGCCAACCUUCCCGCCGGCGAAGCGCUGUAUUUCAGACGCUGGUGCUCAAAUCUUAAUCAGGCGAUUUCAUCUCUUCCCAUUGUAUUUGUUGCAUUUUAAUUGCUUGUUUUUCUCAGGAAGCUGCGAUCACGGAUAUGAGGCGAAGACGAAAUGAAGUGUGGAAGAGGACGCCGAUGAAAAAAUCCUACUCGAAGAUUGUCCAAGGAACCAAGAAAGGCACGGCUUUUUACAAACAACAUUUCUGAUGUUUUUUCUCGCUUUCAUCUAUCUUUAGACUUACAUGUUGGCCUCAUAUAACGAAUGGACAUAUGUUAGUUCAAAGAAACAGAAGGUAU